GGAAUGAACUGCCACCUUCUUCCUCCUCCUUUGCUCUGACUCAUCUCUCUGCAGAGGGUGCGACCUCUGGGUAACCCUCUAUAUGCACAAUAUUGGUGGCUGAUUCACUCCCGCCCCCAUCCCUCACUCCUUUGCCUCACCACCUCAAGGAAGGGGAUCUGCACCAGGCUUCCUAAGAACCUUGGCCCACACCUGUAGCAGGGCAGAAUGUCAAAGCAGAGGUCCUAAAUUUGGCUGCCUACAGAGACCAGGCAAGAAUCAAAAGAACAGAGGAUGUAAUCCAUAUAACAUACAAAUAUGCGUUAAUGGACUGUUGAUGUUACCGGAGACGGAGGCUCUGAUUUGCCUCAGUGACCCAUGUCAUCCACCAGGGGGAGACUAAACAAGAUGCUGUAGGUACCUGGCAAUCCGACAGCACUAGUCAGUUCAUGCCUAGUUGCCUGGAAACUGGAGGAACCCAAGUCAAGCACAAAAGUUGAAACUCCAUCAAGCCAUUGGUUGGCCCUUGAUUGACUGACACAUCCAUGCUUGAAGAAAGAGCCAGUAUCCUUUUGAAUAGGAAACUCCUGAAAUGAGUCCCUUGAGCAUUUGCAAGAAGAAGUUAGCUGUCCCUGAGCUGGGAUUUGCCUUUUCCCUGCCAGAAAAGUAUGGGAUCGGGAAUGGCAGUUACCCAUCAUAUUAACUGUAUUUUCUCAUUUUCCAUUUUCCUGAUGUUCUGGUGUCUCUGUCCUCCCUGACCCAGGAGAGUGCCCCUCUCAGGGCUAGCUAAUUCCUAGACUUAGCAAACGACUUCCCUUUGAGCAUGUCUGUCCCAUGUAAACCAACUAAUCCAGAGCCUAUACUCUGGACCACCAUUUGCUGCUUACACCCCAAGAGGCCAUAUUCUUCUGUCCUAAUCAUCCCAUGACCAGGGAUGUCUCAUAACCAGCUGAAACUAUUCAAACUAGCCAAUCCUAAAUGCGCUUACCCUGCCCUGCUUUGUCUUCCCAUGGAAAUCACAAUAAGGGUUCCUGUGUAUGCUUUUCCUUCGUUCUUUAUGAAUCCUGACCUACCCUGGUGCUUCCCCUGCAUGAUGUGGAAUGCCCCCUCUUCUUGGGAACUGUUGAGUAAUAAAUUAUCUUUUCAGUGGCUGUCAUCUCCUGAUCUGUUGGUCUCAUCAUAUCUGAACAAUAACAAAACUUGCAUUUUAAA